CGGGAUUUAGUGGGCGCACGGGGUGAGUAACAUGGUGGGAAUCUACCUGAAGGUUCGGAAUAACUGCGGGAAACUGUAGCUAAUACCGGAUGUGUCUGCAAAGAGAAAGAUUUAUCGCCUUCAGAUGAGCCCGCACUAGAUUAGCUAGUUGGUGAGGUAAUUGCUCCACCAAGGCUACGAUCUAUAGCUGAUUUGAGAGGAUGAUCAGCCACACUGGGACUGAGACACGGCCCAGACUCCUACGGGAGGCAGCAGUAGGGAAUAUUGGACAAUGGGGGAAACCCUGAUCCAGCAAUGCCGCGUGAGUGAAGAAGGCCUUCGGGUUGUAAAACUCUUUCAUCAAUGAUGAUAAUGACAUUAGUUGAAGAAGAAGCUCCGGCUAACUUCGUGCCAGCAGCCGCGGUAAUACGAAGGGGGCUAGCGUUGUUCGGAAUCACUGGGCGUAAAGCGUAUGUAGGCGGAUCAAAAAGUUAGAUGUGAAAUCCCUGGGCUCAACCCAGGAACUGCAUUUAAAACUAGUGAUCUAGAAUUUGGUAAAGGUUAGUAGAAUUUCCAGUGUAGAGGUGAAAUUCGUAGAUAUUGGAAAGAAUACCAGAAGCGAAGGCGACUAACUAGGCCAUUUUUGACGCUGAGAUACGAAAGCGUGGGUAGCAAACAGGAUUAGAUACCCUGGUAGUCCACGCAGUAAACGAUGAGUGCUAGUCGCUGGGACAAUAGUUUCAGUGUCGAAGCUAACGCAUUAAGCACUCCGCCUGGGAAGUACGGUCGCAAGAUUAAAACUCAAAUAAAUUGACGGGGGCCCGCACAAGCGGUGGAGCAUGUGGUUUAAUU
rnacentral:rRNA from 1 species